GUGGGGUCUGUUUAUCUGGCAGCUCUGGCUGCGCUCAGAGUGAAGUAGGCAAGUGAGAAUUCCCUGGGUUCCACUUAAACGCCUACAGUACCAGGCAGAGAACGCCAGAGAGUAAAGCAGUGUGUAAGUGCCUGUGCAACCACAUGCGUAAUAAGCUGAAGUGGACUUCUUGGGAACCUAUAUGUCCUGUGGUGGUGGAGAGAGGAUGGCAUGGGAAGCUGAUUAUCAGUGAGCACCUGGGUGGCGCAAAAUGUACCGGAUGUUCUGACUUAUUCCCCCGAGCUGCACCUGACCAGAGACAACGUGGACAGCUUCCAAGCCAUCCUGCCAAAGCCUGUCACUUUCUUCGGAGUGGAAGACAACGGAUGCGGUUUCAGAAACACUUAGCUUCUCCAUGGCUUCUCAGUUAUCCUGGAUCCCUUAGCUCUAAGAGAGCUACUGUGUGUAAUGGAAACAGGCUCUGAAGGCCAUGUGGGUUUCUUAGAUAACCCAUACAAGCUAGUUGAUAGGAAAGGUGGGUCUGUGGAGCAGAAACUCAUGAUUACCGCUCUCGUCAUGAACACCAAGCUGCGUCUAAUAAGGGGCAAGGUGCGAUGGCCACGCUGAAGUAGAACUGCUAAGCCACAGACCUCUCUCGGGGGAUUCUGGGGAACUGGUGUGCUCCAAUAUUAGAAUAAGUAGCAUCAAAUGAUUCAUCGUCUUGCUUCUUUGCCUCCAUGAGAUAUUCCUGAACACUCAGCAACAGGAAGGAAACUGAAGAAGGCAUUUCAGUUCCCCUGAUUGCCUCAAUUUUCUCCACCACGAAAGGGCAGAGACAAAGAACACCUUUCCAACGUCCCGUCCGUGUUCUGUCAACACCCAGCCCUGUGACCCCAUGAUGUCCACUCACAACUUCAUAAUUUCAUCUCUUGCUAUCUGCCUGGCUAUUUUCCUUGAUAUUGGAUUCCUAUCGUCUUUCAGUUCUACUCUUAUGAAUAUCCUUUGUUUUCUCAAAGUUAGAAUGAUUUUUCUCACUAAAGUUUGUUUGUCUAUCAUAAAACUUACUGUUAUAAGCAUUUUAACUCUGUGUGUGUGUGUGUGUGUGUGUUUGUGUGUGUGUGUGUGUAUGUGUGUGUGUGUGUGUGUGUAUGUGUGUGUGUGUUUAUGUGUGUGUGUGUGUGUGUGUGUGUGUGUAUCUUUCCCACUGGACUGUGAGCUGGUAAAGGAAGCGAUUACACCUCAUUUGCAUUUGGCUCCCUUAAUAUCUCACACUGCAGCAAAACAAGUGGUUAUCUGUCAAAUGUUCGUUGACCCACACUACAUAUGUGUAGUGAACAGGAGCCGCCUGAACCAAGAGGCUUCUUAGAAAUACCACAGAAAGUAGUUUUUCUAGGUCACCAGCAUCCUCUGCGAUACUGAGGGAUUGCUGAAUGCUUCCCAAGGGCAGAAUGAAUAUGAUAGCUUAGAUUCAUCACAGUAGCUAUCCGAAAUAAAACACUAAGUCAUGAGCUCAAACAGAGGCUAACAUUUAAUGACUUACAAAGUCCAGAAAGUAUGCAAGACAAACAGAUCAGUAAAAAUAAGAAAUAUUGAACAAACCUUGGUUAUGAUUUUUGCUUUUUAGUUUCCACACAUAAGGUAGAAUCCUUAUUUAAAUUUAUGGUUAUGGAAAACCGGCCAUUUCCAUUUUCAGCACAGUUGGGUCGGGCUAUUUCCUGUUAUCAAUAGGAAGCUGCUGUACAAUUAAAUGGAUCAAUGAUGCAGUGAGCUAAAUUAGCUUUUUUAUAGUCAAAUAAUUGGACUAGCUGUGCAUUCUACAUUAUUUCAGUUGUACAAGCAUGAUCUUUGAAUCUACCUUGUAGCAAGAUGCCUGGGCUGCCUUAGCCUAUUGAUUUGAGAAGCAGUAAAAGGUGAUAUUUAGAAAGGGCCAUGGGAUAGUAUCAAUAAAAUGGUUCAGGGGAUACACAUUUGACACACAGAGUGGCUUUAUGUAGACUGAUUUUUUUGAAGAAUAAUUUACAAAUCUGGCCUAAUUCAACUAGCAAUAUGAUAAUAAUGUACCUUAACUACGUACCUUAAAAUACUGUUGCUUAUCUCGAUGCAGAACAUUAAACUGCUGUUGUCAGCGGCAUGUGAGUAAACUGGCUGUUUGUCUAACGGUCUGAUCUGUAGUGAUUUUUCUAUUCCUGUGGUGUAAACACUCACAAUGGGCUGGUGGGAAGUUAUCAACAGUUACCUAGCUCUCAAAAUUUCCGAAUAUCAAACAACUGACUUCAGAGGUGGUAGGAGCUGACUCUAGAAGCCUACCACAAGCUGAUGCCCACACUGGCAGGAGAUUCACAACCAUGCACGUCUAGCACUAGGAGGUUUUAGAAUAUCCCAGCACUACCGGUGGCUGUAUGAACAACUUUGUACUUUUACUAGCACAUUGGGAUUCAUGGGUAGCAUACCCUGCAGAAGAUUUUACAGAAGGUAAAAGAAAAGCGACUGGACAGGAGGGAAAAUAUAACUCUAUCACCUUACCGGAGAAAACCCAGGAUGAACGGUGACUCAAAAGCCACACAGGAAAUUCUUAGCCGAGAAAUUGUGACAUAGGAAGAAAUAAGUCUGACCUUUGGCUGUAACGGUUGGCACAGAGUUUCCAAAUAGUUUGCAGUUUCCUAGAACUUUGAGGUUUUCAUGGCUACAUGAUGAAAUCCCUCAAAAAAAAAAAAGAAAGAAAGAAAAGAAGAGAAGAGAAAAGAAAAGGAAAAGAAAAGAAAAGAAAAGAAAAGAAAAGAAGAAAACCCUAAAUGAAGGGGUGCUGAGGUUUUCAGGUGGGGGUUAGCCAUGAGGACAACCAGGGCUUCCCACCCUCUCUGAUGUUCUAUCUGGUGAACUUCACAGUUUGGGUAACAGAGUGACAGUCUGGAUAACUGACAAACAAUAGAAGGUUCCUUGGCUCAUGGCUCUGACAGAGAAGACCAAGAGCAUUCAUUGUUCUGACCAGGGCCUUUAUGCUGAGUCACAACUCGUCAGAAGGGCAAGGGGACAUGUGCAAGAUGGAAGAAACUGGCUGUUGGUGUGGACAACUCCACAUAUUUGGUGCCAGGAAUAUUGUGAAUAUAUUCUUACUAACACACCUGGAACUGGGAUCUGGUUGGCUGGACUUGUGGGCCAGGGUUCUUCCAUGCACAAGCCUUUGAGAGGAGCUAGAGAAGGUCACCCAGGGGCAUGUGUGGAAACAGGAUGCAUGGUCUUGAUAAGGGGUGUGGUGGACACCGGGUGAGUAGGAGGAGCUGUGGACCUGAAAUUCUUCUAGGAAGGCCUAGCUGGGAGAACUUCUUCACAACAGUGAAGAUGGUGACAAACGGUUUUCUAAAGGUGGUUCUUUUCAUUUCUCUUGAGUUUCUUUUAACAUUGUGUAUUAAUUUAAUCUAUGGUACUUAUUAGAUGGGGCCUUAGCAUUUCAUAAGCUACUCGAGAAGAAAAAUGAGUUUAAGUUCUCUUUAAAGAAAUCUCUUCACGCCGGGUGUGGUGGUGCCCGCCUUUAAUCCCAGCACUUGGGAGGCAGAGGUAGGCGAGUUUCUGAGUUCUAGGCCAGCCUGGUCUACAGAGUGAGUUCCAGGACAGCCAUGGCUACACAGAGAAACCCUGUCUUAAAAAAAUCCAAAAAACAAACAAACAAAACAAAUCUCUUCACACUGAAAUGUUUUGCUUACUUGUACAUGGGGGGGCGAGGGGGAGAUCUUCAGAUGGGUGAUUCUGUAGAUAACUGAAUAUCAACAUUAGCAUUUUUAAAUCCCUGAUAACCCUCCCACAAUUAAAACAUAAUAAAACAAAACACCCAUGUCUAUGGGGUAAAACUCGAGAAGGGGACUUAGUGCUUAGGCAUUUAAAAUUUUUAUUAAUCUUCAAGAAUUUCAUACAAUGUAUUUUUAUCAAAAUCACUCCUCCUACCUCUCUUUAGAUCCAGCCUCCUUACCCUAUCAAUUUAUUUUCUUUUUCAAUCCAUUGAGCCUGAAGCCCAAACUUUUUGGUGUGUGGCUAUCUGGAACAUGGUAGACCUAUGUUUCUCAAGGGUCAUGUCUUUGAAGAAAACCGAUUUUCUCCCUCUGUCUUAGUUACUUUUCUAUUUCUGUGAAGAGAUACCAUAACCAAGGCAAGUUACAGAAGAGUUUACUGGGUCUUACAGUUCCAGAGGGUGAGUAGACCAUCAUGGCAGGAAGCAGGGCAGCAGCAGGCAGGCAUGGCACUGGAACAGUAGCUAGGAGCUUAGAACCAACAGGAGAUGGCGGCGGGAGAGCCAACUGGAGCGGUAUAGGCCUUUAAAACCUCAAAGCUCACCACCAGUGACAAACCACAUGCAACAAGAUCACACUUCUACUCCUUCUCAAACAUCUCUACCCACAGGACCAAGCAGUCAAAAGCAGGAGCCUAAUGAGGCCAUUCUCAUGCAAACCAGCCAUCCCUUCCCUGCCCCUGCCAAUUGUAAGUAGCUUAGUUCUGGAUAGGGGUGGGGGUGGGGCACAUAGGUAUUUUUAUUAAGCUGUCCACUUGAUUUUGAUGCCCAGGCAAUGGAGAGUUUCCCAGCUGUUAGCACAGAGAAUAUUUUGCAGGGCAGGAGAGUAGCAGCCAUGAAGUAACUUCCGAGUUAUACAAAAGGGUUUAUGCAUAGGACCUUGAAGCCAUCCAAGAGCCCAGAGACUAUGCACAGGACCUUGAAGCCAUCCAAGAGCCCAGAGCAACAGUUUGGGCAGAUGAUGGCUGACGGAGGCAGUUUGAUGGCCAGUUUGAAAGUGUUAGUGUACUACGUAGGGCACGGACAGAUAAUAAAGGGGACACUCUGGGUUGAAACAAGGUGCUAAGAGUGGAACCAUAAAUCAGAUUAGAAUUUUGUGCCUGAAUUAAAAUUACACAAUUACAGGAUUCUAAUGCUCGAGGCAUUACUUAGAUCUGUUAAUAUGAGGUGGCCAUUGCUCUCCCUCUUGCAUUUUAAAUUCUAUAAAACAGCCUAUAAAAAUGUGAAUUCAAAUCAUUCUUAUUUAUUUAACAGAGUAAAUUUCUAAUUUAAGAAUAAGCAGUUUAAGGUUUGUAGUUGUUAGACACAUUAAGUUGGAAAAAAAUGAAGCUAUAAUCACUGUAAUUUCACAAACAGGGUCACACAAUUCCACCUUCUAAAAUUCUAUUGUAACAUUGUUUUAAAUAUAUAAAACAUAUUAACGGGGGUUGUAGCUAGGACCUCAACAGAUUGCCUUCUGCAUGAUAACCUUGCAUUCUGCCACUGAGCUACACUCUUAGUCCUCUCAAGACCUUUCUUACUUGUACACAAAUUUUAAGAACAGCGUCUGGCCCAAUUUUAGGAUGGCCAGUGGAUCAUCUGGAAGCCUACAUCUUCAUACUGUGUUGUGUUCAGGGAGCACAGAGUGCCUGCUCAUCAUCCAUGCUGGGAGCUCUGAGCCAAAUCCACAGGCGUCUCGUGUUCUCACACAGGCUCUCUUGAAACCCGUGAAGGGAUGGGGCAUAGCACCAGAUGACAUAGGGUUCUCAUACCUAUUUGCAUGGGCAUGUUCUCUGUGAACCCUUCCAACAGAGGUUCUGAUACUCUUAAAAAACAAACCACAAAAGUAAAAACCUAAGCACUGCUUGCAAAUUUAAGGGAAAGGGAAAGGGGGAGGUGGAGAAACCUUGUUUGGAUUGAUUGAGAAUUUGUUCAAUUUGAUCAGUGAAUACAAUUAUAACUUUGUUUUAUCGGUGAACUACAGCAUCUCAACGGAAGAUCAUAUUGUUCUAAUAAAUGAAUGGUAUAUUCGGGGGAGAGGCUGCCCAGUUGCAUGUCACCUGUAUGAACUAUUACUUUAGACUUACAGGAGAGCUGCAACAGUUCAACAGAUUUCUACAUAUCUGUUUCCCAGAUUCUCAAUAUGGUAACAAUUUAUCAUAAUUUCUAUUGUUUUUUUUUUUAGUGAAAGCUUUUAAUGACUAGUUAACAAUAUUAUGUCAUGGUGAUUCUUUUAAAUUUAGCAUAAUCUUAGGCACCUGCUUGGUAGAGACUUGAGAAAUAGCAUCCAAAAACCAUACUGCCUGUUAGGUUUUUAAAUUAACAUGCUAGUUGUACAUAGUAAUGGAACAUGUUGUAUGUGGGCCAGAAUCCAAUCAAGGUAAUCAGGAUUGAACUAUUAUGUCAUGACUUAUCACUUUCAUCUUUCUAUAUACAACUCUAGCUCCCCCUCCCCCCAAUACACACAUAGUCGUCUCCUGAACCAUUUACACUGCUGGCAUGAUGCCCUUUUAUGGCUAAAUCAUUAUGUGUACUAUUUUACAUAAAUUCUUUUCAAUUACCACGGCUCAAAACCAACUUAAGAAAUUAAGAUGCAAUUUUCUAAAGUAUAGACCUUACCCAACCUUUUCCUUUUGUGCUAAAAUGUACUUUGUAGCACCAGUCUACAUCUCCUUACUGAUCCAGGGUCCAAUCUAGAGCAGUGCUGUGUUCAGGUGUCAUGCUUCUGCUCUCCCCUAUAGUCAGGGACAAUUCCUUGGUCCUUGUACCUCAUCUAGUCACUUUUGAAGCACACAGGCUGUUUGUACAAGCCUCUCAACUGGGACGUGGCUGUCAUUUUGUUAUUAUAUUCAGGCUAUGCAUCUCCAGUAUGACCAACAACUGUGUGCCCUCUUCAGGUGGUAAACGGUAGUUGUCCAAGACUGGUGAUGUUAACUUUGAUCAACUUAAUGUAAGUGGUAUGUACCGGAUUUUCCAGUGUAUAUUGACAGUUUUCUCUCUUUGUGGGUUACUUUUUCUACAAUGAAACCAUGCAGUCACCCCAUUUCUCAUCGAGCUUCCCCCUAGUCGUUUCGGCAUUCACUGAUGAUUCUCCCUCCAAUUAGCUAGCAUGGUACCUGCAGCUGGUGUUUUUCUAAGUGCAGCAUCCACGUUGUCACACAUCAGACAUCCUAUUGUAAGGAGUCGUAUCUAUAUGGGCCUGUGGUUAUACAGUUCAUUAUUAUGAUGCUCAACUUGUCUCUGUAUCUGGCUGUUCAUUGGAUAUUUCCCCAACAUACUUUGAGUACUUUAUGGCAGAGCCAGACAUUUUUGGUACAUAUAUACUUUCCUUCCCAGUUUAGGAAUCAGUUCUCUAAAAGGAAUGCGUUGGUUUCAUUUGUUUAAAAAAAUUCUAAGAAGAUAAUUUAGAUAUCAAUGUUUGAAUUCUAGGCAUUGCACAGACUUGUAGUUGGGUAGUCCCUGCCUCUAGACCAGUGGUUCUCCACCUUCCCAAUGCUGUGAUCCUUUAGUACAGUCCCUCAUGUUGUAGUAACCCCCAACUGUAAGAUUAUUUUCAUUGCUACUUUGUAACUAUAAUUUUGCUAUUGUUACAGACUGUAAGUAUCUGUUGUUUUCCAAUGGUCUUAGGUGACCUUCAAAUGGGGGCCUGACUCACAGGUUGAGAACCAAUGCUCUAGACCCUUGCAGAGCAUAUAAUUAGGGAAUGGGGAAGGGGGGUGGUUCUGUAGGUAAACGGCUUGCCGUGCAGUAGGAAGAUCCCCAGCACCCACUACAAAGCCUGCUGUGGUCAAAUGUGCUUGCGAACCCAGCACUGGGAGAUAGAGGAGGAGGGAGGGAGAUCCCUAGAACUCGCUGGUCAAUGAAGCUAUUGGUGACAUCCAUGUGAGAAACCUUAUCUCAAAAAUGACACAUGUUGACCUCUGGCAUCCACAGCUACAACAGAACCUAGGCAAAGAAGUUGUUUCACAUUUUCUAUUUGGCUAUUGCACUGAGCACAGCAGAGGAGCUCCAUAUUGCCUAUCAUCCCACUGUGGAUUACUCCCUUUUAUAGAUUAAAUGAACUGUCUUACUUGCCAUUGUAUUGACUGCCAUUGUCUUGGGUGGUAGUUUAUGAUAGAAAUCAACUUUUCUCUUAUCUAAACUAAUUGGGAGUUUUAGUGAACACCAAAGGUGUCUGUGUAUAAAUGUGUUAUAUAUCUAGAAAGUAAGAGCCAAGAAAAAGAAAAAUUUAGGGAAGAAAGGUACUAGGAUUUAAAAUUAUAUUUUAAUAUGUUUUUCCUAAACAUAAAAAUAAACGUAAGCAUUUUUAAGUCAAAAUUUACUAUGAAGUGAUUUUUACUUCUUCAAACUAAUGAAGGGUAUCUGUCUGUCUCUCUGUCUAUCUACCUACCUAUUGUGUGUGUGUGUCUAUGUGUGCACACUUGUGUCUAGGUGUACACAUGUGUACAAACCACUGGAGCUGGGGAUAAAACCCCAGUUAUUAGACUUAGUAGCAAGAGCCUUUACCCACUGAGUCAUCUUGCCGGUCCAUGAGUUUGAACUUCAGUCCCCUGCUUCACCUGGAGAGCUACAUCAUAGGUGUGCAUCACCAACUUGUUUCUAUAGUGCUGAGGAUCAAAUCCAGAGCCUGCCUGUCAGACAAGAACUGUGCUAACUGACCCAGACCCCCAGCCCAGAAAAGCUACUCUUCAAUAAUGCUUAUGUGGCUGACUUAGAAAUCAUAGUCUAGAAAAAUUGCUGAGUAGGGUGCCUAAUAAAGGACUGUCACUACCAGAGGGUGACCAUGGGAUUCAUCAUGGUGGCUUCUACAGAACCAUGUUUGCAGAGCUGACUCCAUGUGAAUGCAUAGGUUGCAGACACAGGCAUAGGCAUCGUUUCCCUCGUUACAGUAGCUGAGCCAAAUAUGGCAGAGCUACUAUUUCAAAUACUAGAUUUCACCUGUUAACGUGGAUACUGAACUUUCUUGUUUUUACAGUUAAGGAGGUGGUAAUAUCAACUCUAGAGAUGAGGCAAGAAAGUUUGGCUUCCUACGAAGAACUCUAACUCCUAUUCUUAGCUUCUCUAAUAUUAUGAAGCAGAAAGCCAUACUGUGUGGCACGGGCUGCUUUCCCCUAGCACACAGAAACGCACAUGAUUCUUUCUCCUACUUCAACAGUGACUCAGAACAGACUUGGAAAUGAGACACGGAAUCCUGACACUCUCCUCCUGUCCUAAGUCAUGAUUGUCAACAACAAACCUGCAUUUAUCUAAAUAAAAUGAGGAAGUGUGUUUAAGGA